UUCACGGUACAAAUUUCAACAUUGAUGCUAUUAUUAAUUAUUAUUAUUAAUUCCUUUAUAAGGUGAGGAGUUAAUGUUUCAGUAUUCAGUCUCCUGAAGGAUUUCAAGAUGAAAUUGUUUGUGUUUGUUCUGUCUGUAUUCGCCAUCAUGGCUGCAGUGUUUGGUCAGGGGCGUGUCCGUCGCAAGCUGGACAUCAGGGACCAUCCCGUAUAUGGCCCCGAACAGCCCCGUGACGAAGGAUUUCUAAUUUCAAAUUCAAUUCAAAUUGGUUGAAAGCUUCAGGUUUCUUUAUGAAAAUAAAUGAAG